GAAGUUUUAAUUCACUAAGUGAUUGGAUUAAAUAUAAUCAAUUGGAUUGAUGUCAAUCACCUCACUGCCCUUGCUAAUUAGAACCUAAAAUGAUUGUACACCGAUACACUCUUGUAGUGAGUAAUUAAUGGAUGAUGAAAAUAAUUAAUUGGAUUAAUUAAGUGUUGUGAUUUGUUUGUACCAUACUUGACCAAUCCCGAAACUACCGAGCACCGGCCAACGC
rnacentral:lncRNA from 1 species